rnacentral:lncRNA from 1 species
CGGGAAGUGGGGAAAGAGAGAAAGAGGGACGCCAAGGACAAGAUAUAGUGCUCCCAGGACCUCAAGGACCCAUCCCUUCAACCAGGCCCCACCUCCCAGUUCCUACCACCUCCAACAGUCCACUGAUAUGGACCUCAUGAUCCAGUUACUCCCCCCAAACCCCACCUCUGAAUGUCACUGCAUUGGGGGCCAAGCCUUCAACACGUGAGCUUUUGGGGGACACUCCAGAUCCAACCAUACCCUGGGUAAGCACUCUGCCACUGAGCUACAUCCCUGCCCUGGAAACACUUUCUGACCCCUAUGGUGGGAUUUAUCCAUUUUUAUUUACUGUAUUAACAAUCAAGACAUACAUUUUGAAUAUACUGACUCGUGAACAACAAUAAUUAUGUCAGCAUAAAUAACAUUUUCACUUUAAAAAUAAUUACAGUCAUGUAUAGUGGUCCACACCUGUAAUUCCAUGACUUAGAGACUGAGGCAGGAGGAUCACAAGUUCAAAGCCAGCUUCAGCAACUUGGUGAGGCCCUAAUGAACUUAGCAAGACCCUGUCUUGCUAUGGGGACAUAGCUCAGCGGUAAAGCACUUCUGAGUUCAAUUCCUAGCACCAAAGCUAAUAGUAAUAAUUGUUAUUAUUUUACAUUUAAUAAAACAAAAAUAGGGACUGGGGCCGUGGCUCAUCGUUAGAGUGCUCACCUAGCACGUGCAAGGCCCUGGGUUCGAUCCUCAGCACCACAUAAAAAUAAAUAAAUAAAGUAAAGGUAUUGUGUCCAACUACAACUAAAAAAAAAAAGAGAGAAAUAAAUAUUUUAAAAAAAGUAAAACAAAAAUAUUUGGGAAGAAUGGCAUUGUUUUGCAAAUCUCUACCACGUGGAAUGAUGAGAGACAGCUGGCUCUCACAUCUGCUUCUGCCCUAUAUGUGUUAUGGCAGGUUGUUCUGGUAAAAGAGAUGAAGAAAAAUGGCCUAAUAUAAUUGGGAAAGGAAAGAAUAUUUUAAUAAUAUUUUCAGUAAAUUUCAGAUAUUUUUCUUUGAUACUACACCUGAGCUCAAUUAGUACUAGUUUUUUGUUUUUGAUUUCUGCAGUACUGCAGCUUGAUCCCAGGGCCUCAGCCAUGAUGGGUAAGUACCCUACAACUGAGCUAUGUCCCCAGCCCUUUACUUUAUUAAUAUUUUAUUUUGAGACAGGGUCUUGCAAGUUGCUGCAGCUGACCUUGAACUUGUGAUCCUCCUUACUGGCCCCCUGAGUCUCUGGGAUUACAGGUGUGUGCCUCAGUUCCUCGAAAGUGCUAGUUUCUCAAAGGUUAGCUACAGAGCAGAAUAUGAAACUGUAUUGUUGUAUUUUAUGCUCUAUUACAUUAAACU